rnacentral:rRNA from 1 species
GAUGAACGCUGGCGGCGUGCCUAAUACAUGCAAGUCGAGCGAACAGACGAGGAGCUUGCUCCUCUGACGUUAGCGGCGGACGGGUGAGUAACACGUGGAUAACCUACCUAUAAGACUGGGAUAACUUCGGGAAACCGGAGCUAAUACCGGAUAAUAUAUUGAACCGCAUGGUUCAAUAGUGAAAGACGGUUUUGCUGUCACUUAUAGAUGGAUCCGCGCCGCAUUAGCUAGUUGGUAAGGUAACGGCUUACCAAGGCAACGAUGCGUAGCCGACCUGAGAGGGUGAUCGGCCACACUGGAACUGAGACACGGUCCAGACUCCUACGGGAGGCAGCAGUAGGGAAUCUUCCGAAAUGGGCGAAAGCCUGACGGAGCAACGCCGCGUGAGUGAUGAAGGUCUUCGGAUCGUAAAACUCUGUUAUUAGGGAAGAAAAAAUGUGUAAGUAACUAUGCACGUCUGGACGGUACCUAAGCAGAAAGCCACGGCUAACUACGU